UGUUUUCCUUUCCCUCCUUUGCACAGACAUGGAUCCCUGAUAAAUAUUCUGCAGGCCGAACUCCUACAGUUAUCAGCAUCUGCAUCUGGAGAAUGCAACCUGUGGAAAUUUGUGCCAGGAGAGGUCCAAAAAAGCAGUUGAGGAAACUGAGGACCCAAAGACAUAAAGUGACCUGCUGGUGAUCUGACCUAGAGUAAGGGGUAGGCAACUGCUCCAGUUUAUAAGACUCCAGUUUAUAAGAGGUGCCCGAACAUCUCUGGGUACCAAAACACUGCAGGAAAUUUAACAAGCUUCCUAAGGAGUCUGGAAUGGACAAACAAAGGGCUUUUGUUUUGUGGAAUGGAGUAAGCAAAUUUGGCUCACAGCUGGAUUGCCCUGGAAAAUAAAGAUGAGGAAACGAAAGUCCAGAGAGGACACAGCAUAUGUAAAGACUUGUAAGUGAGAAAUAGCAUAGUAUAUGCAAUCUACUUAUGAGCAAUCUCUGGUGCUGAAGCAAAGGUAAGAAACGAUAAAGGGUGAGAAGUGAGGUUGAAGAAGUAAGAAACUUAAACUUGAUUUUAAAAGCUCUGGGAUCUACCCAAGAGAAAUGAAAACAUAUGUUCACAUGAAGACUUGUAUGAAAAAUUUUUAGCAGGAGUUUUAGCACCCAAACUGGAAACAAUCCAAAUGUCUAUCAACUAGUGAAUAAAUAAACAAAAUAUGGUACAUCCAUGGAAUACUACCGAGCAACAAAAAGUAAAGAACUACUAAUAUUUACAAUAUUAUGAAAGAAUCUCAAAAACAUCAUGCUACAUGAAAGAAGCUAUAUUAGUUUGCUAGGGCUGCCAUA